rnacentral:tRNA from 1 species
GGUCUUGUAUUCAUUUGUGUGAUUAUAGAAUGCAAUUCUAUAGGGGUAGAGGUUUAAAUCUAUCAAGGCCU